AAAGAAAACCAAAAACCCUGGUUCCCAACACUUGGAACCAAUAGGAAUCGCACCAUGAAAUGUUGACUUCCAUCUUGGCAGAAGUGUGGCAUAAACGUCUGUUUGGAGUAGCACUCAGAAAAAACGUGUUUCACUGUGACAGCACAUCAAGCCUGAAUUGACUCUCCUGGAGCAGCCCUUGUCACACACAAGAGAUUUAUCUAAAGAGGCAUUCAAUAAGCUACUUGAGGCGAAGUUGAAGAACACAUCCCAAGCUUUUCG